rnacentral:rRNA from 1 species
AUGAGGAAGGGGCUUCAUCCCCAGAUGCAGUGGAUCUCGUACGUGACGCAGAGCGGCAGGCUGAUCAACAUCAUGAUGACCAAGGUGAACCAUACCGGCAAGGUGUACCACAUGAGGGCGAAGCGGCAGAUGGCACAGAGCCUGGGGCAGAUUGCCAAGUUCAAACGCCGAUACGAGCAGGAAGCGCCGGAGGAGAACCAAGACAAGUAG